rnacentral:rRNA from 1 species
UACGGAGGGUGCGAGCGUUGUCCGGAAUCAUUGGGCGUAAAGGGCGCGUAGGUGGCCCGGUCAGUUCGUGGUGAAAGCGCGGGGCUCAACCCUGCGUCGGCCAUGAAUACUGCCGCGGCUGGAGCACUGUAGAGGCAGGCGGAAUUCCGGGUGUAGCGGUGGAAUGCGCAGAUAUCAGGAGGAACACCGGUGGCGAAGGCGGGUCUCUGGGCCGAUACUGACGCUGAGGAGCGAAAGCGUGGGGAGCGAACAGG